rnacentral:rRNA from 1 species
GAUUGAACGCUGGCGGUAUGCUUAACACAUGCAAGUCGAACGGAAACGAUACUAGCUUGCUAGUAGGCGUCGAGUGGCGGACGGGUGAGUAACGCGUAGGAAUCUGCCUGAUAGUGGGGGAUAGCCCGAAGAAAUUCGGAUUAAUACCGCAUAAUCUAUUCGUAGUAAAGUGGGGGACUUUCGAGCCUCACGCUAUCAGAUGAGCCUGCGUAAGAUUAGCUUGUUGGUAGGGUAAAAGCCUACCAAGGCGACGAUCUUUAGCUGGUCUGAGAGGAUGAUCAGCCACAUCGGGACUGAGACACGGCCCGAACUCCUACGGGAGGCAGCAGUGGGGAAUAUUGGACAAUGGGGGCAACCCUGAUCCAGCAAUACCGCGUGUGUGAAGAAGGCCUGAGGGUUGUAAAGCACUUUCAAUUGUGAAGAAAAGUUAGCGGUUAAUAACCGUUAGCCUUGACGUUAACUUUAGAAGAAGCACCGGCUAACUCCGUGCCAGCAGCCGCGGUAAUACGGAGGGUGCAAGCGUUAAUCGGAAUUACUGGGCGUAAAGCGUGCGUAGGUGGUUUAUUAAGUCAGAUGUGAAAGCCCCGGGCUUAACCUGGGAACUGCAUUUGAAACUGGUCAACUAGAGUAUGGUAGAGGAAAGUGGAAUUUCUGGUGUAGCGGUGAAAUGCGUAGAUAUCAGAAGGAACAUCAAUGGCGAAGGCAGCUUUCUGGACCAAUACUGACACUGAGGUACGAAAGCGUGGGUAGCAAACAGGAUUAGAUACCCUGGUAGUCCACGCCGUAAACGAUGAUAACUAGCCGUUGGGGGGAUUUACCCUUUAGUGGCGAAGCUAACGCGUUAAGUUAUCCGCCUGGGGAGUACGGCCGCAAGGUUAAAACUCAAAGGAAUUGACGGGGACCCGCACAAGCGGUGGAGCAUGUGGUUUAAUUCGAUGCAACGCGAAGAACCUUACCUGGUCUUGACAUCCUGCGAACUUUCUAGAAAUAGAUUGGUGCCUUCGGGAACGCAGUGACAGGUGCUGCAUGGCUGUCGUCAGCUCGUGUCGUGAGAUGUUGGGUUAAGUCCCGUAACGAGCGCAACCCUUAUCCUUAUUUGCCAGCACAUCAUGGUGGGAACUAUAAGGAGACUGCCGGUGAUAAACCGGAGGAAGGCGGGGACGACGUCAAGUCAUCAUGGCCCUUACGACCAGGGCUACACACGUGCUACAAUGGGAAGGACAAAGGGUUGCUAAGCCGCGAGGUGGUGCUAAUCUCAUAAACCUUUUCGUAGUCCGGAUUGGAGUCUGCAACUCGACUCCAUGAAGUCGGAAUCGCUAGUAAUCGUAGAUCAGAAUGCUACGGUGAAUACGUUCCCGGGUCUUGUACUCACCGCCC